rnacentral:tRNA from 1 species
GGGGCUGUAGCUCAGCGGCAGAGCACUUGCCUAGCAUGUGCGUGGCACUGAGUUUGAUCCUCAGCACCACA